GCGCACGUGGUGAAACUGGUAGACACGCCACUUUGAGGGGGUGGUGCCCUUACGGGUGUGGAAGUUCGAAUCUUCUCGUGCGCACAA
rnacentral:tRNA from 1 species